rnacentral:tRNA from 1 species
UCUUUGUUAGUAUAUCGGUUAGUACACGCGCCUGUCAUUCAUGACGACCGCGCGAAAGCUGGGUUCGACUCCCAGACAGAGAG